rnacentral:lncRNA from 1 species
CUGUUUUACUGAUGGAGUCUUCACUCAUGGGUAUUUGAUUGUAAGCUCUGUGCAAGUCCAUUUUACUAAAAAUUUUCAUCCCUCUUAUGUUGGUCACCAAAUCCAUUAAAUUUGGAAGAGAAUAUCGAUCUGGAUCCGUCAUGUUAUUUAAUGGACGAGAAUCAUCCAACGUUCGCCAGCCUCCUUUGGCUUUAGGUACUACAAGAAUCGCUGAUGAAAAAUUUGAAUAAGAUGCACGAAUUAUUCCCUUCUCUAGAAGUCCGUCAAUUUCGUUUUUAACAGAAUUGAGUUUAACACCAUCCAGCUUGCGGGAUUUUGCAAAGCAGGGAGGACCCUUAGUUUCGAUGUGAUGUUCAACUCCAUGAGCUGGGUAAGAUUCAGUGAAUUUUUUAUCAUCGAAAACUUCAGAGUAUUGAGUUUGAGCACAUUAGGUUUCUGAUAGUUCUGAAAAGACGCAUGGAUCAUCAAAAAAUAUUUUCUUGUUGAAAAGGUGAAUAUUAGUUUUGUAGAAAUGAAGAAAUUCAGCCCCUAAAAUAGGGCGUCCUCUAGGUACAACAAUAAAUUUCUAUUAGAAAUUUUCUAUUUGUACCCUUAGAGUUUUAGUACCGAGAACAUCUACUGGAUUCCCUCCAUGACCAAAAGAUAGGUUGCAUUUUAACACGAAUGAAAUCUUUAAUUCGUCGGGGAUAUAGCGGAUACCUGGGCACCCGCAAGAAAAUUAAUUGAAUUUAUAUUGUCUUUAAUUAUUAAGAAAUUUGAAGGACUAUUUAAUGCCUCAGUCCCAUGCAACCAAGGACAAUUUAGGUUUUUUUUUAAUGAUAAUAACAUACUUUUUUAAACUUUGCAGAUGUUGAGGACUUCGAAAAAGCUCCCCUAAGUCUCUUCUUAAUCAAAGGUGCGACAGUGGGAGAAGAAGAUGGAUCCUCGACAGUAGAAAUGGCAGUGUUUGUGACUUUCUUCGUAGCCGCACACAUAUCUGCUAUAUUCUUAGUCGUAUUCCUCAUCCAGAAGACGUUCAACUUCAUCUUUUACCUUCAUGCUCGAGAGCCCGGAAGUAUCAACCAUCAUCUCGACUACUCUUUUUAUCCUGGCCAAAGAUGAAAGCCUAUAUCGGACUAAUAUGGAUUUCUUCACUCCCUCAAAAGUAAGAUGAUCCUUACUAAUACGAAUAGUAUUGAAAACCUCACCCGGCAAUGCUGACACCAUAAGACUAUAUUUAAUUUUGGUAUGACAAAUAACCCUGAACGCAAAAUUAAGUUCCAUUCUCCGGAACCAGUUCUCAACAUCUGAAGAGCAGAACCUAGGAACGUGGAGUUCCGCAACGGUCAUUGCUAAAUUCGCCUCUUCCGUUUUAAUCGACCAUGCUUGUUUUUGGAGAGACACAGGUGGGGAAGUUUGCUUUCGGGGCAUUUUUCGAAUCGGUUUAGGGUCUUCAAUGUAAAGUAUUUAAAGUUCAAAUAUCUACUGAUUAUAUUCUAGAUAAAUCAUAAUAAUAACAAGUAGAAAAAGAAGAAGUGAUCAACUUGAUCAAAUCUAACUUCAACAUAUAUAUAAGGUCAAUCAAAAUCAGUUAUAUUUGAAAAUUUUAGAUAUGUGGUAUUUUAUUUACGAAGGCAACGCAGGAAUUGUUAUGAUAAUGUUAGAUUAUAUAUAUUAUUUACCUAUAAGAAAUUAAGACAACUGUUAUUUUUGUUAAGAAUAUAAAAAUGGUUAAUCAAAUUUUAGCAAAUUAGUUUAAUAAAAUAUUCCAAAUAUUCCGUUUGAAUCUUCGUUUAUUGUGGUUGAAAAUACGGGAGUUCGAUUGAGAUUCACGGCAAGCCUCUAAAGGGUUACCAACAUAACCUGAACGGCAUGAACAUAUUGCACCUAAAAAUAAUUAAAUUUGAUGACAUUAUAAAGGAUCUAACGCAAAUAUUUACCAUGAUUAAGGGCUCUACAUUCAGAAUUAAUACCACAAGCAUCAGUGCAGGGAUCCUUACAUUUAAAGUCAAAACAAGCUUGAUUUGAGGUACACUCAUUGUCAUUUUCACAUUCUCCUCUGACACACUUGGUUAGUGGAUCACCUCGAUAUCCCUGAGGGCAAGUACAAACAGGUCGACUGUUACCCGAACGGUCAGUCCCAGGUUGACAUAACGCUCCAUCUCCACAUGGAUCUGGUUUACAAAGAUCUUGCUUAUUGAAUU